UUUUGAUCCUGGCUCAGAUUGAACGCUGGCGGCAGGCUUAACACAUGCAAGUCGAGCGGAGAUGAGGUGCUUGCACCUUAUCUUAGCGGCGGACGGGUGAGUAAUGCUUAGGAAUCUGCCAUUUAGUGGGGGACAACAUUUCGAAAGGGAUGCUAAUACCGCAUACGUCCUACGGGAGAAAGCAGGGGAUCUUCGGACCUUGCGCUAAAUGAUGAGCCUAAGUCGGAUUAGCUAGUUGGUGGGGUAAAGGCCUACCAAGGCGACGAUCUGUAGCGGGUCUGAGAGGAUGAUCCGCCACACUGGGACUGAGACACGGCCCAGACUCCUACGGGAGGCAGCAGUGGGGAAUAUUGGACAAUGGGCGGAAGCCUGAUCCAGCCAUGCCGCGUGUGUGAAGAAGGCCUUUUGGUUGUAAAGCACUUUAAGCGAGGAGGAGGCUACUUAGAUUAAUACCUAGGAUAGUGGACGUUACUCGCAGAAUAAGCACCGGCUAACUCUGUGCCAGCAGCCGCGGUAAUACAGAGGGUGCGAGCGUUAAUCGGAUUUACUGGGCGUAAAGCGUGCGUAGGCGGCUGAUUAAGUCGGAUGUGAAAUCCCUGAGCUUAACUUAGGAAUUGCAUUCGAUACUGGUCAGCUAGAGUAUGGGAGAGGAUGGUAGAAUUCCAGGUGUAGCGGUGAAAUGCGUAGAGAUCUGGAGGAAUACCGAUGGCGAAGGCAGCCAUCUGGCCUAAUACUGACGCUGAGGUACGAAAGCAUGGGGAGCAAACAGGAUUAGAUACCCUGGUAGUCCAUGCCGUAAACGAUGUCUACUAGCCGUUGGGGCCUUUGAGGCUUUAGUGGCGCAGCUAACGCGAUAAGUAGACCGCCUGGGGAGUACGGUCGCAAGACUAAAACUCAAAUGAAUUGACGGGGGCCCGCACAAGCGGUGGAGCAUGUGGUUUAAUUCGAUGCAACGCGAAGAACCUUACCUGGCCUUGACAUAGUAAGAACCCAGAGAUGGAUUGGUGCCUUCGGGAACUUACAUACAGGUGCUGCAUGGCUGUCGUCAGCUCGUGUCGUGAGAUGUUGGGUUAAGUCCCGCAACGAGCGCAACCCUUUUCCUUAUUUGCCAGCGAGUAAUGUCGGGAACUUUAAGGAUACUGCCAGUGACAAACUGGAGGAAGGCGGGGACGACGUCAAGUCAUCAUGGCCCUUACGGCCAGGGCUACACACGUGCUACAAUGGUCGGUACAAAGGGUUGCUACCUAGCGAUAGGAUGCUAAUCUCAAAAAGCCGAUCGUAGUCCGGAUUGGAGUCUGCAACUCGACUCCAUGAAGUCGGAAUCGCUAGUAAUCGCGGAUCAGAAUGCCGCGGUGAAUACGUUCCCGGGCCUUGUACACACCGCCCGUCACACCAUGGGAGUUGGGUCUACCCGAAGACGGUGCGCCAACCUGUUCGCAGGAGGCAGCUGGCCACGGUAGGCUCAGCGACUGGGGUGAAGUCGUAACAAGGUAGCCGUAGGGGAACCUGCGGCUGGAUCACCUCCUU
rnacentral:rRNA from 1 species